UGGGGAAUAUUGCACAAUGGGCGAAAGCCUGAUGCAGCGACGCCGCGUGAGGGAUGACGGCCUUCGGGUUGUAAACCUCUUUCAGCAGGGACGAAGCGCAAGUGACGGUACCUGCAGAAGAAGCACCGGCUAACUACGCGCCAGCAGCCGCGGUAAUACGUAGGGUGCAAGCGUUGUCCGGAAUUACUGGGCGUAAAGAGUUCGUAGGCGGUUUGUCGCGUCGUUUGUGAAAACCAGCAGCUCAACUGCUGGCUUGCAGGCGAGACGGGCAGACUUGAGUACUGCAGGGGAGACUGGAAUUCCUGGUGUAGCGGUGAAAUGCGCAGAUAUCAGGAGGAACACCGGUGGCGAAGGCGGGUCUCUGGGCAGUAACUGACGCUGAGGAACGAAAGCGUGGGUAGCGAACAGG
rnacentral:rRNA from 1 species